rnacentral:lncRNA from 1 species
CGAGUGGUUGGAGUGACCCAGCCUCGCAGAGUAGCUGCUGUGACGAUUCGGGACCACAGAACCCCUGUGUUUGUCGACAUGAGAAUGUCCUGCUGUUUCUCAGCCACUGUGCUGCACACGAUCUCGGUCCAACUUGCCAUGGAGCAGUGGUUUGGUGACUGGGAUCUGUUGAGUUUGGUGGACUUGUGAAGAGUGCAGUGUAAGUAGUAGAGGUGAAAGUUUAUUAAACCAGCAGAGGGUCGGCAGGAUGUCUCACCAGUGAAGGUGCUUGUUGCCCAAGUCUGAUUAUCUGAGUUUGAUUUCCAGGACCCAUAUGGUAGAGGAAGAGAACUGUCUCCCACAGGUUGUCCUCUGACCCUCAGAGGAACUCUGUGGCCCAGGUACAUACACAUCUAUACAUACUUGUAAUAAAUAAAUAUAGAUAAUCAAACGAAGCCAACAGUGCAACUCUGUGUGACUAUAAAUGGCGAAACAAAAAGGUUUGAGAAUAAAUCUUAUGUAUGU